rnacentral:rRNA from 1 species
UGGGGAAUAUUGCACAAUGGGCGCAAGCCUGAUGCAGCCAUGCCGCGUGUAUGAAGAAGGCCUUCGGGUUGUAAAGUACUUUCAGUCGGGAGGAAGGUGGUAAGGUUAAUAACCUUGGCGAUUGACGUUACCCGCAGAAGAAGCACCGGCUAACUCCGUGCCAGCAGCCGCGGUAAUACGGAGGGUGCAAGCGUUAAUCGGAAUUACUGGGCGUAAAGCGCACGCAGGCGGUUUGUUAAGUCAGAUGUGAAAUCCCCGGGCUCAACCUGGGAACUGCAUCUGAUACUGGCAAGCUUGGGUCGCGUAGGGGGGGAUAGAAUUCCAGGUGUAGCGGUGAAAUGCGUAGAGAUCUGGGGGAAUACCGGUGGCGAAGGCGGCCCCCUGGACGAAGACUGACGCUCGGGUGCGAAAGCGUGGGGAGCAAACAGG